CCUACGGGUGGCAGCAGUCGAGAAUCAUUCACAAUGGGGGAAACCCUGAUGGUGCGACGCCGCGUGGGGGAAUGAAGGUCUUCGGAUUGUAAACCCCUGUCAUGUGGGAGCAAAUUAAAAAGAUAGUACCACAAGAGGAAGAGACGGCUAACUCUGUGCCAGCAGCCGCGGUAAUACAGAGGUCUCAAGCGUUGUUCGGAAUCACUGGGCGUAAGGCGUGCGUAGGCUGUUUCGUAAGUCGUGUGUGAAAGGCGCGGGCUCAACCCGCGGACGGCACAUGAUACUGCGAGACUAGAGUAAUGGAGGGGGAACCGGAAUUCUCGGUGUAGCAGUGAAAUGCGUAGAUAUCGAGAGGAACACUCGUGGCGAAGGCGGGUUCCUGGACAUUAACUGACGCUGAGGCACUAAGGCCAGGGGAGCGAAAGGGAUUAGAUACCCCUGUAGUC
rnacentral:rRNA from 1 species